rnacentral:tRNA from 1 species
GCACUCGUAGCUCAGCUGGAUAGAGCAUCUGAUUGCGGUUCAGAAGGUCACAGGUUCGAAUCCUGUCGAGUGUACCA